ACCACCAGCUACCAUCACUGCCUCUCAGUCUGUAUUGACAACCAACCCCCCCUGGAGAGCCCUGUAGAGAGUCGCUAGAUGUGGGCCAUGGCAAGACAGUUAAGCUGCCACCAGCUGCCACAACGGUCACUUUGCGGACAACCAAGCCCCCUGGAGAGCCUUGUUAAGGGUUGUUAGAUGUGGAGCAACCUUCUGCCUUCACAGAAUAGAUGAAGCCCACAGUAACAGGUUGGAGACUACAUAAGACUUUGACAGUUGGCGGGAAACCAUCAUCAACUGGAGAGAUGCCGGUAAAGGAAUGUCUGCGACUAAGUCAAGGGCCACUGGAUAAGGGUUGUUGAUGGCAAAACAGGUUGGAGACUACAUAAGACUUUGACAGUUGGCGGGAAACCAUCAUCAACUGGAGAGAUGCCGAAUUUCCCUUCAUCGAGAGCUGGCGAGCCUGUGUGCCAGAGGUGGACCAGCAGUGGAUUUAAAGAUGUUUCGGAUAUCAGCUGUUCCUAUGGAUCCCACAGCGGUUAUGUAGGAUGGCGCUGACCUGUCCCUUCUGCAGGGUGACCCAUCUUACCAAGCAGGGUCUGUACCGGCUGACCAGGAUGGUGCUGGACAUAGAUUCUUUUUACAUUCUACAACUGAGUAUUUGCACUGAAUCAAGUGCAAGAAGAAUCAGAUAGGCUGGAGUGAUGCCAUAUUGGACCAGCUUGACCCGGCUACCUGGUCUUUGUUUCCAGUACAGAUGAUGUACCAUAGCGCAUGUGGCAAUCGUGUCAUAUACUUGUUGCCCCAGAGAAGCUUAGGUAACAGUCUCAGAAGCAGAUCACCGAGCUGCACAAUUUACGUUGGACAAAGCAACAACUGCAGUACAUGAGCGACUGUGCUUUGUACCGCAAGUCUGUGCAGUUAAGUUAAUUUUGACAACAACUUUCGAAGAACCCCCCCACACUACCCAUUACGAACAUACCAGUGGUUUCUUCAUGUUUAUCAGCAGGAGGUUUUAUCUCGGUCGGAAGAGGUCAAGGCGGCAGUGACAUCCAUCUUUGGUCGGGUAUUAAAGAUGGACUCUACUAAGAAGUAACCAAGAAGCUGGCGGGUGAAGCUGCUCGGACAGCUGCGUGGUCCACUUACGUGGGUAAUGAGUAUGGCCAGGUACUCAUGAGUGUCAUGACAGCCAUCGAAGGGUGUGGGCUCGAGGAGAUGGUGUCAGGCAUCAUAAGACACUAUUCAGAGGCUGGUGUUUUACCGCCAGUCCUGCUGUAUGUGGACAGCAACUGUUGCGGGAAGUCCGCACUGAUGGACAUUUUCAGGAGUGCUUGACCUGACCUUGUCGUGCGAUUGGACAUGUGGCACUUCAUGCGGCAUCUUGCUGUAGGGGCCACAAAAGGCAACCACAGACUGUACGCUACAUUCAUUGGUCAGCUUUCAGCCGCCAUCUUCCAGUGGGACAGGGUCGACCUGAAUCUCAUUAAGUCAGCAAAACGGGAAGAACUUAUUCAUUCCAACAUCCGAAACCCCUCUGACUCAGAUAUCCAAGCCCGUCUAGACCGGAAGGAGUUGUCCCUGCACUGUCGUCGAAUGACUCAAAGCACAGAGGUCAUCACGGAGAGGAUCCAGGCUGUCUUGGAGUUGUUCGAUGGUGACUCUGGAAGGGAUACCAUGGGUGUACCACUGCUUCAUCAUGAGCGUAUCUGGGAGCUCUGGAAACAGCAGCAGUGCAUGUUGAGUGCCUCCAGGACCCUAAAGGUGUACAGCUUUACACUCAGACAGGCACACUGAAGAAGGGGGUGUGGUGUUGCCUGUGUAUCGCUGUGCGCGAGGAUCUACCUCCUUAAGAGUCUUUCCAUCUGCACUUACAGCGAUUCAUUCCUGGAACCAGUGCUAGCGCCAGCAACUUCCAGACUUACCUGCUGGAGGGCCUGAUGCGCUGGAACGAAGACAGACAGAUUGCUGCAACUAGCACUGAGAAGGAAACUGUUUUGUAUGACGCACGGUUGAAGACUGCCACUAGCAGACUGAGUCAGGAGCUCUUCAACAAGAAUAUUUUCCCUACAUUCCAGCCUCCAAACAAAUACACUGGAGAGCUGAUAGGUAUUGAAUACCUCUACAGCCAAACUGGUAAGCCUCUAGGUGCUCAAGACCCUGUUAGUGAGACCGAGUCUGAUGCCAGCCUCUUGGAUGAGGGCUUUGAGGAACCCGGGGCCAUGAAUGAUGAUGAUCCAACCAUCCAGAUAGAGGACUCAUUCCUACCUGCUUUGAGUCGUGAGAGGGCUAAGCAGUUCAUGCAGCAGAACAGGCCGUCU